rnacentral:rRNA from 1 species
UACGAAGGGUGCAAGCGUUAAUCGGAAUUACUGGGCGUAAAGCGCGCGUAGGUGGUUCAGUAAGUUGGAAGUGAAAUCCCCGGGCUCAACCUGGGAACUGCUUUCAAAACUGCUGAGCUAGAGUACGGUAGAGGGUGGUAGAAUUUCCUGUGUAGCGGUGAAAUGCGUAGAUAUAGGAAGGAACACCAGUGGCGAAGGCGACCACCUGGACUGAUACUGACACUGAGGUGCGAAAGCGUGGGGAGCAAACAGG